AUUGAACGCUGGCGGCAUGCUUUACACAUGCAAGUCUGACGAGUGGCGAACGGGUUAGUAACGCAUCGGAACGUACCGAGUAAUGGGGGAUAACUGUCCGAAAUGACAGCUAAUACCGCAUAUUAUUCGAGCGGCCGAUGUCUGAUUAGCUGGUUGGCGGUGUAAAGGCACACCAAGGCGACGAUCAGUAGCGGGUCUGAGCGGAGGAUCCGCGACAAUGGGAAGGAGACACGGGCCGUACUCGUACGGGAGGCAGGAGUGGGGAAUUUUGGACAAUGGGCGCAAGCCGGAUCCAGCCAUGCCGCGUGUCUGAAGAAGGCCUUCGGGUUGUAAAGGACUUUUGUCAGGGAAGCGGUACCUGAAGAAUAAGCACCGGCUAACUACGUGCCAGCAGCCGCGGUAAUAC
rnacentral:rRNA from 1 species